AGUCGAACGGCAGCACGGACUUCGGUCUGGUGGCGAGUGGCGAACGGGUGAGUAAUGUAUCGGAACGUGCCUAGUGUAGGGAUAACUACGCGAAAGCGUAGCCAAUACCGCAUACGCCCUUCGGGGGAAAGCGGGGACCUUCGCCUCGCACUAUUAGAGCGGCCGAUAUCGGAUUACUGGUUGGUGGGUAACGGCUCACCAAGGUGACGCGAUCCGUAGCUGGUUUGAGAGGACGACCAGCCACACCGGGACUGGAGACACGGCCCAGACUGCCGGAGGCAGCAGUGGGGAAUUUUGAAUGGGGAAACCCUGAUCCAGCCAUCCUGCGUGUGGUGCGAUGAAGGCCUUCGGUUGAAAAGCACUUUUGGCAGGAAAGAAACGGCACGAUAACACCUCGUGCAACUGACGGUACCUGCAGACUAAGCACUCGGCUAACUACGUGCCAGCAGCCGGGUAAUACGUAGGGUGCAAGCGUUAAUCGGAAUUACUGGGCGUAGCGUGCGCAGGCGGUUCGGAAAGAAAGAUGUGAAAUCCCAGAGCUUAACUUUUUGGAACUGCAUUUUUAACUACCGAGCUAGAGUGUGUCAGAGGGAGGUGGAAUUCGCGUGUGUAGCAGUGAAAUGCGUAGAUAAGGUGAGGAACACCGAUGGCGAAGGCAUUCUGGAUAACACUGACGCUCAUGCACGAAAGCGUGGGGAGCAAACAGGAUUAGAUACCCUGGUAGUCCACGCCCUAAACGAUGUCAACUAGCUGUUGGGGCCUUCGGCUCAUGGUAGCGCAGCCACCUGCGUGAAGUUGACCGCCUGGGGAGUACGGUCGCAAGAUUAAAACUCAAAGAAUUGACGGGACCCGCACAAGCGGUGGAUGAUGUGGAUUAAUUCGAUGAAUGCUGAAAACCUUGUCACUCCUUGACAUGUCUGGAAUCCCGAAGAGAUUUGGGAGUGCUCGCAAGAGAACCGGAACACAGGUGCUGCAUGGCUGUCGUCAGCUCGUGUCGUGAGAUGUUGGUUGUCCCGGGCAACGAGCGCAACUCUUGUCAUUAGUUGCUACGAAAGUGGCACUGAAGAUUGCCGGUGACAAAACUGGAGGAAGGUGGGGAUGAUUAAGUCCUACGUAUUCUUAUGGGUAGGGCUUUCUCACACGUCAUACAAUGGUCGGGACAGAGGGUCGCCAACCCGCGAGGGGGGAGCCAAUCCCAGAAACCUCGACUAACUGAUCGCAGUCUGCAACCUGACUGCGUGAAGUCGGAAUCGCUAGUAAUCGCGGAUCAGCAUGUCGCAGUGAAUACGUUCCUCGGGUCUUGUACACACCGCCCGUCACACCAUGGGAGUGGGUUUUACCAGAAGUAGUUAGCCUUAACCGUAAGGAGUGGCGAUUACCACGGUAGGGAUUCAUGACUGGGGUGAAGCUCGCAUCAGCGUAG
rnacentral:rRNA from 1 species